AGCGAACGCUGGCGGCAGGCCUAACACAUGCAAGUCGAGCGGGCCCUUUCGGGGGUCAGCGGCGGACGGGUGAGUAACGCGUGGGAACGUGCCCAUCGGUUCGGAACAACCCAGGGAAACUUGGGCUAAUACCGGAUACGUGCGAGAGCAGAAAGAUUUAUCGCCGAUGGAUCGGCCCGCGUCUGAUUAGCUUGUUGGCGAGGUAACGGCUCACCAAGGCGACGAUCAGUAGCUGGCUGAGAGGAUGAUCAGCCACACUGGGACUGAGACACGGCCCAGACUCCUACGGGAGGCAGCAGUGGGGAAUAUUGGACAAUGGCGCAAGCCUGAUCCAGCCAUGCCGCGUGAGUGAUGAAGGCCCUAGGGUUGUAAAGCUCUUUCGCACGCGACGAUAAUGACGGUAGCGUGAGAAGAAGCCCCGGCUAACUUCGUGCCAGCCGCCGCUGUAAC
rnacentral:rRNA from 1 species